UACGAAGGGGGCUAGCGUUGCUCGGAAUCACUGGGCGUAAAGCGCACGUAGGCGGAUUGCUAAGUCAGGGGUGAAAUCCUGGAGCUCAACCCCAGAACUGCCUUUGAUACUGGCGACCUUGAGUCCGGGAGAGGUGAGUGGAACUGCGAGUGUAGAGGUGAAAUUCGUAGAUAUUCGCAAGAACACCAGUGGCGAAGGCGGCUCACUGGCCCGGUACUGACGCUGAGGUGCGAAAGCGUGGGGGAGCAAACAGG
rnacentral:rRNA from 1 species